rnacentral:tRNA from 2 species
GGAAAAAUGGCUGAGUGGUCGAAAGCGACAGAUUGCUAAUUUGUUGUAUGAAUAUUUUCAUACCGGGGGUUCGAAUCCCUCUUUUUCCG